GAUGAAGAACGUAGCGAAAUGCGAUAAGUAAUGUGAAUUGCAGAAUUCAGUGAAUCAUCGAAUCUUUGAACGCACAUUGCGCCCGUCGGCAUUCCGGCGGGCACGCCUGUCCGAGCGUCAUCAGGAACCCAUCGGGCGGUCCCCUCGGGGACCGCCCGGCGUUGGGGCGCGCCGCCCGCGCCGUCAGGCGAAAGGCGGCGGCCCUCGAACCCAUCGGCGAUGCAUCGACGCGAGACCGACCGGCGUUGCGGAAUCGUCAAUCCGCCGGCGGCCGUCGAAGCUCCCUUCCGAAAGCUCCACGAGACGAAAAGGACCUCGGAUCAGGCGGGGUUACCCGCUGAACUUAAGCAUAUCAAUAAGCGGAGGA
rnacentral:misc_RNA from 1 species